rnacentral:misc_RNA from 1 species
UGCAUGCCGCAUCUGCAAAUUAUAAUAUUACUAAAGACAAGGAUGCCUAAACACGCUUUAAGGGAAGGAUGGUUACAGGAAUAUAAUGCAAUAAUUUAGCAUGAGAAUACAAAUAUUAGCCAGUUGAGAUCACAAGUUAAGAGAAGAAAUUUAAUCAACCAAAACAGAGAAAUCAAUGAGGAUUACUCUACCGGUCCAUCCAACAACUUUGGAUACUACCCAUAUGUUGAACUGUAUGAUACUAAGUUAAAA